rnacentral:rRNA from 1 species
GACCGAGGUUGCAAACGUUGUUCGGAAUUACUGGGCAUAAAGCGCACGUAGGUGGUCCGCUAAGUCGGAUGUGAAAUUCCCCGGCUCAACCGGGGAACGGCAAUCGAUACUGGCGGGCUUGAGGUCCGGAGGGGUGAGUGGAACUCCUGGUGGAGCGGUGAAAUGCGUAGAUAUCAGGAGGAACACCAGUGGCGAAAGCGGCUCACUGGCCGGAAUCUGACACUGAGGUGCGAAAGCUAGGGUAGCAAACGGG